rnacentral:rRNA from 1 species
UUGACCUCGAAUCAGGUAGGAAUACCCGCUGAACUUAAGCAUAUCAAUAAGCGGAGGAAAAGAAACCAACCGGGAUUACCUCAGUAACGGCGAGUGAAGCGGUAACAGCUCAAAUUUGAAAUCUGGCUCCUUCGGAGUCCGAGUUGUAAUUUGUAGAAGAUGCUUUGGGUUGUGGGCUCGGCCUAAGUUCCUUGGAACAGGACGUCAUAGAGGGUGAGAAUCCCGUAUGUGGCCAUGGCCCGCGCCUAUGUAAAGCUCUUUCGACGAGUCGAGUUGUUUGGGAAUGCAGCUCAAAAUGGGUGGUAAAUUUCAUCUAAAGCUAAAUAUGGGCCAGAGACCGAUAGCGCACAAGUAGAGUGAUCGAAAGAUGAAAAGCACUUUGGAAAGAGAGUUAAACAGUACGUGAAAUUGUUGAAAGGGAAGCGCUUGCAACCAGACUUGGGCGCUGCCGAUCACCCCGAGUUCUCUCGGGUGCACUCGACAGCGCACAGGCCAGCAUCGGUUCGGGUGGCUGGAUAAAGGCCGUAGGAAUGUAGCUCUCUUCGGGGAGUGUUAUAGCCCACGGUGCCAUGCAGCCCAGCCGGACCGAGGACCGCGCCUUCGGGCUAGGAUGCUGGCGUAAUGGUUGUAAGCGACCCGUCUUGAAACACGGACCAAGGAGUCUAACAUCUAUGCGAGUGUUUGGGCGUUAAACCCAUGCGCGGAAUGAAAGUGAACGUAGGUGAGAACCCCUUUGGGGCGCAUCAUCGACCGAUCCUGAUGUCUUCGGAUGGAUUUGAGUAAGAGCAUAGC